AUUGAACGCUGGCGGCAGGCCUAACACAUGCAAGUCGAACGAGUGGCGGACGGGUGAGUAAUGUCUGGGAAACUGCCCGAUGGAGGGGGAUAACUAAUGGAAACGGUAGCUAAUACCGCAUACCAUCGGAUGUGCACAGAUGGGAUUGGCUGGUUGGUGGGGUAACGGCUGACCUAGGCGACGAUCCCUAGCCGGUCUGAGAGGAUGACCGGCCACACUGGAACGGAGCCACGGUCCAGACUCCUACGGGAGGCAGCAGUGGGGAAUAUUGGACAAGGGGGGCAAGCCUGAUGCAGCCAUUCCGCGUGUAGGAAGAAGGCCUUCGGGUUGUAAAGUACUUUCAGCGAGGAGGCGUUACUCGCAGAAGAAGCACCGGCUAACUCCGUGCCAGCAGCCGCGGUAAUUC
rnacentral:rRNA from 1 species